rnacentral:rRNA from 1 species
AUCGAACGCUGGCGGCAGGCCUAACACAUGCAAGUCGAACGGUAGCACAGAGAGCUUGCUCUCGGGUGACGAGUGGCGGACGGGUGAGUAACGUCUGGGAAACUGCCCGAUGGAGGGGGAUAACUACUGGAAACGGUAGCUAAUACCGCAUAACGUCACAAGACCAAAGUGGGGGACCUUCGGGCCUCACACCAUCGGAUGUGCCCAGAUGGGAUUAGCUAGUAGGUGGGGUAAUGGCUCACCUAGGCGACGAUCCCUAGCUGGUCUGAGAGGAUGACCAGCCACACUGGAACUGAGACACGGUCCAGACUCCUACGGGAGGCAGCAGUGGGGAAUAUUGCACAAUGGGCGCAAGCCUGAUGCAGCCAUGCCGCGUGUAUGAAGAAGGCCUUCGGGUUGUAAAGUACUUUCAGCGGGGAGGAAGGCGGUGAAGUUAAUAGCUUCACCGAUUGACGUUACCCGCAGAAGAAGCACCGGCUAACUCCGUGCCAGCCGCCGCGGUAAAAC